rnacentral:rRNA from 1 species
ACAAAGCGUUGCCAAAGCGCGAGCUGGAGCUAAUCGCAUCAAAGCCGGCCUCAGUUCGGAUUGGAGGCUGCAACCCGCCUCCAUGAAGUUGGAGUUGCUAGUAAACGCCGGUCAGCUAUACGGCGUUGAAUGCGUUCCGGGCCUU